CAAGACUUGUGUCUUACUAUGUAUAUCAUCAGCCAGGAUAGGAGAGUUAAUCAUGCAGCAACAACAGCCCCCCCCACUAAAACAAAAGAUCAGCUGUUGGGCUCUUAUACAUAUCCACGGGGAGAUAGAAAAGCUGACUACCCUUCUCUUUGAGAAUAAGUUUGAUGAUCAAGCUUGAGUUUAUUUCUUGGAGGACGAUCGACAACACAGAUUAGACAUGAGCCAUCCAGCUAAGAUCCACCAAGAUCAUCUCAGCCAACCUCAGCCUAACUGAAAGCAUGCAAUGGACCCAGGUGAGCCAAGCCCAGGCUAAUGACUCACAGCUAGGUAAAUGUUUGCUUUACGCUCAUGUUUAGGGUGUCAUAAUACAUGCAAAAGCUGGUGUAGUUAUUUAAGCUUAAAGGGGAUUUACUAAAAGGUUGUAUCCUUGAGAGACACAGACACCCUAUGCCUUUGCCCAAAUCACACCAUGGGAACUGUUUUGUCAAUUAUACUACUGUGCCUGCCAUGGGGGACAUUACUGCAGCUGUACCCUGACCUAGGCUCUAGCUGCUGCCACAGGGCAUAAUGGCCCCAGGAAAGUAGACUGACCUGUUAUUGCUGCCACCUAUCCGCAGAAGCAGGUCAUACGCUGGUGAGUCAUUCUAUGAAAAAGACACAAAGGCAAGGGCACUGAGCCAACAAAGCCAUAGACCCAGGCACAGGAGCCCCUCUCUGGUACUCAUCAUUCACCUGUUCAUAGAGUAUAAGGAGGUUCAGCACAGAAAUCCCAAGACAUGGGCAACAUCUUGUCAGCAACCCUCAUUGUGCCAUUUCAGUACUUUAAUACCAAUGGCAGCACCUCAGUGCAAGCUGGCUUUCUCUGCUAACUCAGUUUUAUUGCAAGAUGCAAACAUGAAUAUGGUCUGUCCCCUCAUAUUGCUACAAAAAAGACUGAGAGAAGAGACCAGAACUUCAUGUUUAACUUUAGGUUUAUUAUUAUGGAAUUUUAGUUUAAGAUGUGUUACAUUCGUUUAUGCUGUGGAAUAUUUGUUUAAUGAUGCAAAGAUGUCUUACAUUCUUUUAUGUUGCCUUUGUUUGUUUAACUCUGUAAAGUUGUGCUACUUUGCCUGCCUAAAACACCUGAUUGGUCUAAUAAAGAGCUGAAUAGCCAAUAGCUAGGUAGGAGAGAGAAAGAGGUGGAACUGGCAUAUGGAGAGAUUAAAUAGGAGGAGAAAUCUAGGCUGUAGAGGGAGUGAGGAGUGAGAAAAGGAGAAGGAGAGGAGGACUCCAGGGGCCAGUCACAAUGUAAGAAGGAAAGAAAGAUAUAUAGAAUAAAGAAAGCUAAAAAGCUCAGAGGCAAAUGUAGUUAAAGAGAAACAGGAUAAUUUAAGUUAGAAAAGCUGGCUAGUAAUAAGCCACAGUAAGACCAGCAAGUCUCUAUGCAUUUAUUUGGGAGCUGGGUGGUGGGCCCCCAAAAGAGAAAAAAAAAACUACAGCUAAUUAUUGUGACAGUUUCCAGGCACUUGGCAGCAGUGUCUUGCCUAUCAAAAUCUAUAAGUCACCAUAGUUUUCUUAACAAAAAAAAUUGUGCAAUGAAAAACAAAAUGAUUCAUUCCACUUUGGUAAGCUGGGUGGGCUGGGGCUUGGUCACCUUCUCUGGCUUGAAACAUUUAACAAGAGAAAACUAAGACAGUACUAAUGAGGAAGGCUUGAGGGAGACCUAGCAAAGCAAUCUGUACCAUUUGUGAUACUCUCUGACCCUCUGGACAUGCUCCAUUCACUCCCUAAUUAUGACAUAAAGUUAGGAAACUUGGGUGCUAGAAGGAUUGAUCAUUAGUGUACCCUGAAAACAGCAAUGUCCCAAGAGGCCCCAGGUAACCAGCCAACCAGUUUGCUUAGACUGGGUUUCGCAGGGAGUGGUACUUGCCAUGCUAACACUGGCAAAGCCCCAGGAAAACCAAAGCAAAGUGGUCAUCUGUACCAAGGCCAGUGAGUGCAUGAUCCAUGUUGUGUUCCUUGGAAGGAGCUAUGGAGAGCCAGAGAGUUCUGACUGAGGUAAUACUGCUAAUUCAUUCAUCUCUGUUCUUCAGCUGGCCAUGUGUUUGAAAUCCCUGUUUCAACCCUGUGACAUGGCCAUUGUUCUUCAUUGUUCUUCAGCUGGCCAUGUGAAGAAGAAAUCAUCAUUUACAAUGGUGACAAUGGGCACCAUAGUCUAUCAAGCCCAGGACUAGGUGCUUUGCAUGGACUCAUUUACUUAAUCUUUCCCACAGUCUAAGGAAAGAGGCAGUGCUAUUAUCCCCAUCUUAUAGCACAAACUGAGCCACAUAAGAGAUUUAGUAACUUGAAAAUGUCACAUCACUCUUAAGUCACAGACCUAUGCCAUUGUGCACAGUUAUGCUCCAUAAUGUGUGAUCCAAUUGUCAUGACAGGAUGCCUGGCCUAUGAAUGGAGACUGCCUUGCGAUUUCAACUCCAAAUCUGAAGCCAGAAGACUUCUCUCACCCAUCCACCAUCCCAGAUGAACUGCUGAUUGUGCUGGCAUCAAGCCUGAACUGAGAAAGGAACAGCUGUGCUAUGCCUUAGUGGCAUUUUUGUUUAAGAGGCUAAGUUUGGGGUUGUGAGACCAUGGGGAAUAUCAUGCUAUAAGUUAGUAGAACUUGCUGCUCAUCAUUUCAUGUCACUGUAUCUCAGUUAUCAGAGCCACAAGACUAGAAAGCUAGACCAAUGAUGAGUAGGCCUCCAGCUGGGAUUUGGAGGAUCAAAUAUUCACUCAGCAGUUUCAAGUCAACAGAAAUAACUGGUUAGAAUUUCCAAGGUAGUCUCCACACACAAAAGCAAAGCAAAUCAGCCUGAAGGAAGGAACUGUAGUUCCUUUUAGCCUCUUUCCCCCCUGGCAAUUUAUUUCUAGGCUAUUUUUUUUAUAUUAAAGCAAAACAAAAAACAGGAUCUGCUGAGGGAAAAGAAGCAAGGAAGACUGUCUAGUUUGUCAUUAUAAACACCCUCUACCACCAAGGAACUUACUUCCUAACCCUCCAGCCCACACUGGGAAAAGGGCUUGUGUUUGCAUUUUACCAUUACAGGGAAUGUUCAGUUUUUCCCCCCAUUAACAGUGACACUUUCACUUCCUUUGCUGGGACCAAAUGUCUCAUACUCACAGCGGUGGACGACACUGCCUCUUUCCAGAACAUCUCAAGACCUGGUUCCAGAGGAGCCUAGCUUGAGAGUUUCUUUUCGAGAUGACUGGGUUAUUCUACCCACAACUGUUGAGGAUGUGUGAAAUAGUCAUUCCCUUUGCCAUGAAAUCUCUGCAUAGAAUGUUCAAUGGCCUCACCUUCUCUCUGAUGACCUUACAUGACACGGCUGAAGAUGGGGCACAGGCUGUAAUAGUCGAGCUAUCUGUUCUGGGAGCAAGCUUCUCCCUGGUUCCUGAAGCCAAUAGCACAGCUACUGCUUCGGAUCCCUUCACGUCACCUCAUGCCCUCCUCACUCAGCCUCACAGACAAACACCAGGAGUUUUCUGGACCAAAGAUGUCUAUGGUCCCUCAGGGUGUUUGAAGUUCUAGAUGUCUCAUUUUCAAUAAGUUUAUCUCAAAAUGCUGAGGAAGGUGGCUAUUUGCCUACAACAAGCCACCUUCUUGAAGUACUUGAAGUUGCUGGGCUAAAUGAGAGACCCAGAAGAGCUGACCUUGUAUCUGCUGUCCUUCAAACAUAAACUAGCUGUGAUAUUAUA